rnacentral:rRNA from 1 species
AGUGACUAAGCGUACACGGUGGAUGCCUGGGCAGUCAGAGGCGAUGAAGGACGUACUAACUUGCGAUAAGCGCAGAUAAGGCAGUAAGAGCCGUUUGAGUCUGCGAUUUCCGAAUGGGGAAACCCAACUGCAUAAGCAGUUACUGUUAACUGAAUACAUAGGUUAACAGAGCAAACCGGGGGAACUGAAACAUCUAAGUACCCCGAGGAGAAGAAAUCAACCGAGAUUCCGGUAGUAGCGGCGAGCGAACCUGGAUUAGCCCUUAAGCACUCGGUGAAGUAGGUGAACAAGCUGGAAAGCUUGGCGAUACAGGGUGAUAGCCCCGUAACCGACGCUUCAUCGAGCGUGAAAUCGAGUAGGGCGGGACACGUGAUAUCCUGUCUGAAUAUGGGGGGACCAUCCUCCAAGGCUAAAUACUCCUGACUGACCGAUAGUGAACCAGUACCGUGAGGGAAAGGCGAAAAGAACCCCUGUGAGGGGAGUGAAAUAGAACCUGAAACCGUGUACGUACAAGCAGUAGGAGCACCUUCGUGGUGUGACUGCGUACCUUUUGUAUAAUGGGUCAGCGACUUAUAUUCAGUGGCAAGGUUAACCGUAUAGGGGAGCCGUAGCGAAAGCGAGUCUUAACUGGGCGCUCAGUCUCUGGAUAUAGACCCGAAACCGGGUGAUCUAGCCAUGGGCAGGUUGAAGGUUGAGUAACAUCAACUGGAGGACCGAACCGACUAAUGUUGAAAAAUUAGCGGAUGACUUGUGGCUAGGGGUGAAAGGCCAAUCAAACUCGGAGAUAGCUGGUUCUCCCCGAAAGCUAUUUAGGUAGCGCCUCGGACGAAUACUACUGGGGGUAGAGCACUGUUAAGGCUAGGGGGUCAUCCCGACUUACCAACCCUUUGCAAACUCCGAAUACCAGUAAGUACUAUCCGGGAGACACACGGCGGGUGCUAACGUCCGUCGUGGAGAGGGAAACAACCCAGACCGCCAGCUAAGGUCCCAAAGUAUUGCUAAGUGGGAAACGAUGUGGGAAGGCUCAGACAGCUAGGAUGUUGGCUUAGAAGCAGCCAUCAUUUAAAGAAAGCGUAAUAGCUCACUAGUCGAGUCGGCCUGCGCGGAAGAUGUAACGGGGCUAAGCAAUACACCGAAGCUGCGGCAAUAUCUUUUAGAUAUUGGGUAGGGGAGCGUUCUGUAAGCCGUUGAAGGUGAAUCGUAAGGUUUGCUGGAGGUAUCAGAAGUGCGAAUGCUGACAUGAGUAACGACAAAGGGGGUGAAAAACCUCCUCGCCGGAAGACCAAGGGUUCCUGUCCAACGUUAAUCGGGGCAGGGUGAGUCGACCCCUAAGGUGAGGCCGAAAGGCGUAAUCGAUGGGAAACGGGUUAAUAUUCCCGUACUUCUGACUAUUGCGAUGGGGGGACGGAGAAGGCUAGGUGGGCCAGGCGACGGUUGUCCUG